CUACUUACCUGGCAGGAGAGAUACCAUGAUCACUAAGGAGGUGUUUCCAGGGCUAGACUCAUUCAUUGCACUCCAGAUGUGCUGACCCCUGCCGUUUCUCCACUUAAGGGAAACUUGACUGCAUAAUUUGUGGUAGUGGGGGGACUGCGUUUGUGCUCUCCCCUG
ensembl:snRNA U1 U1 spliceosomal RNA